UAAAUUAGUAUAAGUUAUGGUCUUUAAAAUUAAAGAUUUUGGCGGUAUCUUAGUCUUUUUAGAGGAACCUGUCCUGUAAUUGAUUUUCCACGAUUAAUUUUACUUAAGUUAUUAAUUUAUAUAUCGUCGUAUUAUAAAAAUAUUAUAAGGUAAAAAAUUUUUGUAAUUUUUUAUUAAAAAAUUAUUCAGAUCAAGGUGUAGUUUAUAUUUAAGAAGAGAUGGGUUACAAUAAAUUUAUUUAUUUAUGGAUUAGAAUUUGCAAUAAUUUUUUAAAGGUGGAUUUAAAAGUAAUUAAAAUUAAUUAAUUUUAAUGAUUUUAGCUCUAAGAUAUGUACACAUCGCCCGUC
rnacentral:rRNA from 1 species